rnacentral:tRNA from 1 species
CGCGGCGCCGGCUCGGCCGUGAUCGGCUCGCUCGUGGCGGGCCCGGCCGGGUCGAUCGAGGUCGCGGCGUCCUGAUCCUCGCGCCGUCGCC